AAGGNCUAACCUGCCCAAUGAGGAUUUAAAUGGCCGCAGUAUUUUGACUGUGCAAAGGUAGCAUAAUUAUUAGUUUUUUAAUUGAAAGCUUGUAUGAAGGGUUGGACGAGAUAAAAUCUGUCUUUAUUUAAAUUAUGAUAGAAUUUAACUUUUAAGUCAAAAGGCUUAAAUGUUUAUAAAAGACGAGAAGACCCUAUAGAUCUUUAUUUAAUAAAUAUUUUGAUAAUUUAGGAUUAUUUUAACUUAAAGUUUUUAUUAAAUUUUAUUGGGGUAAUAUAAAGAUUAAAUAAAUUCUUUUUAUUUAUUACAUUAAUUUAUGAAUAUGUGAUCCAAUAAUAUUGAUUAUAAGAUUAAGUUACCUUAGGGAUAACAGCGUAAUUUUUUUGGAGAGUUCAUAUCGAUAAAAAAGUUUGCGACCUCGAUGUUGGAUUAAAAAUUAGCUUGGGUGCAGAAGCUCAAGAGUUUGGUCUGUUCGACCAUU
rnacentral:rRNA from 1 species